CGAGUAGGGCUACACACGUGCUACAAUGGCGCAUACAAAGAGAAGCGACCUCGCGAGAGCAAGCGGACCUCAUAAAGUGCGUCGUAGUCCGGAUUGGAGUCUGCAACUCGACUCCAUGAAGUCGGAAUCGCUAGUAAUCGUAGAUCAGAAUGCUACGGUGAAUACGUUCCCGGGCCUUGUACACACCGCCCGUCACACCAUGGGAGUGGGUUGCAAAAGAAGUAGGUAGCUUAACCUUCGGGAGGGCGCUUACCACUUUGUGAUUCAUGACUGGGGUGAAGUCGUAACAAGGUAACCGUAGGGGAACCUGCGGUUGGAUCACCUCC
rnacentral:rRNA from 1 species